rnacentral:rRNA from 1 species
UGUGUCUUUUGCUCUGAUGAAGAAUCAAACUCACAUUUGUUUUUUGGCUGUACAGUAGCAAAAAACAUCUGGUCCUUUGUCCAUGACCACGUCAAAAUACCUAUAGAAACAGACUUUGAAUCUGUUGCUAGAUUUUGGAUCUCAAAUAAGAAAAAAAUUGCUUUAAAUACCAUUAGUUCUAUUGUCCUGUGGUGUUUCUGGAACUAUAGGAACUCUAUGAUUUUUAACAACACCAUUUGGACUUCUAUUACCCAGGUGUGGAGGUUGAUCCUCAGAACUCUCAAGUUCUGGCCGGUAGUGUCUCUGGAGAGUGGCAAGGCAAGAUUGGAGGAAUUCCUGACCAUGCUGGCAGCCUUCUCCCGGCGUCCACUGUGGAUUAUGAGUGGCUGA